rnacentral:tRNA from 1 species
GGUUUCAUAGUGUAGCGAUUAGCACGUCUGCUUUACAUGCAGAAGGUCCUAGGUUCGUGCCCCAGUGGAGCCA